rnacentral:lncRNA from 1 species
AAUAGGUAUUGCUCCAGCCACCAGUAAUUCCACUAAACUACACUCUACAUAACUACAGCUGGACUAUAUAAUAAACCAGCACCCAGGGACAGAGCACCACAUGGAAAGUAUGAGGGCUCAUGCAAUGCUGGCAAAAGGUUCCUCAGUCAUGGUUGCAUCUAGCCAACCACAGUGAGCACGAGGCCGUCAUUGGGGGUUUUAAAUGUCUGCACCAUCUAACAAAGCGGGAGCAGUGCCAUCACACAAACUUCCCAGAACUGCUGGACCUUGCUGAAUUGCUGGGAUGCUUGUGACUAUUUCACAAAGCUCAAGAUUGACAAGAACACAAACUACAGGUCCUACAUAAUAGUGGACGAAAUGUUGAAGAUUCUGGCUCAACUUGUGGAGGAGCCUAUCCUCAAUGUCAUGACAUCCAGACAUCUGUAGCCAUUGGCCUGGACGCUGAUGAAACUACAGAUAUGGCAACUAAUAAGCAGCUGGAUUUACAUGUCAGGUAUUAUUUCAAUAAGA